rnacentral:rRNA from 1 species
AUUGAACGCUGGCGGCAGGCCUAACACAUGCAAGUCGAGCGGAUGAAGGGAGCUUGCUCCUGGAUUCAGCGGCGGACGGGUGAGUAAUGCCUAGGAAUCUGCCUGGUAGUGGGGGAUAACGUCCGGAAACGGGCGCUAAUACCGCAUACGUCCUGAGGGAGAAAGUGGGGGAUCUUCGGACCUCACGCUAUCAGAUGAGCCUAGGUCGGAUUAGCUAGUCGGUGGGGAAAAGGCCUACCAAGGCGACGAUCCGUAACUGGUCUGAGAGGAUGAUCAGUCACACUGGAACUGAGACACGGUCCAGACUCCUACGGGAGGCAGCAGUGGGGAAUAUUGGACAAUGGGCGAAAGCCUGAUCCAGCCAUGCCGCGUGUGUGAAGAAGGUCUUCGGAUUGUAAAGCACUUUAAGUUGGGAGGAAGGGCAGUAAGUUAAUACCUUGCUGUUUUGACGUUACCAACAGAAUAAGCACCGGCUAACUUCGU